GACGAACGCUGGCGGCGUGCCUAAUACAUGCAAGUCGAACGCCGUUUCGAACGGGUGAGUAACGCGUAGGUAACUGCCCCAUAGCGGGGGAUAACUAUCGGAAACGAUAGCUAAUACCGCAUACUUUGAGAUGGACCUGCUUUGUAUUAGCUUGUUGGUGAGGUAAAGGCUCACCAAGGCGACGAUACAUAGCCGGCCUGAGAGGGUGAACGGCCACACUGGAACUGAGACACGGCCCAGACUCCUACGGGAGGCAGCAGUAGGGAAUCUUCGGCAAUGGACGGAAGUCUGACCGAGCAACGCCGCGUGAGUGAAGAAGGUUUUCGGAUCGUAAAGCUCUGUUGUUAGGGAAGCUGUAACUAACCAGAAAGAGACGGCUAACUACUUGCCAGCAGCCGCGGUAAUUC
rnacentral:rRNA from 1 species